rnacentral:rRNA from 1 species
UACGUAGGUGGCAAGCGUUGUCCGGAAUUAUUGGGCGUAAAGCGCGCGCAGGCGGCUAUGUAAGUCUGGUGUUAAAGCCCGGGGCUCAACCCCGGUCCGCAUCGGAAACUGCGUAGCUUGAGUGCAGAAGAGGAAAGCGGUAUUCCACGUGUAGCGGUGAAAUGCGUAGAGAUGUGGAGGAACACCAGUGGCGAAGGCGGCUUUCUGGUCUGUAACUGACGCUGAGGCACGAAAGCGUGGGGGAGCAAACAGG